GAACUAGUGCUUGAGAGCAGCAUUGAUCUGAAGCUUCAUGGAGUGGAGCCUCUUGGAGAGAAUUUGUCACUAACCUUCACUGUCUGUGCACACACACGUUGCAGUGAAGUCGGCCAGUUCGCACAGGACUACGGAGUGCGCUUGUAUGAUUACCAAGGAAAUUGAGGAACGGUGAUGCUACAGAAUUUCAGAUCUCUUUCACAAUCGAGUACCGAUAUUCUUUAUUAUGAUCGAAUGGCUUCAUCCUACUAUAGAGCCCAUUAUGCUUGUUGUGUAUUCAGAUUCGGAUUCAGUGGAUUGACUGUCAUUCGUGUGGGCCAUUACACUCUAUAAAUAUAAAACGGAUGAAUCUGACAAUGCUCUCGUUGCACUA